rnacentral:misc_RNA from 1 species
UUUCCGUAGGUGAACCUGCGGAAGGAUCAUUAAAGUUAUAGUCCCCUGGCCCUCUGGGCUGGGGUCUUCUAUACCACCCUUUGUUUAUUACACCUUUGUUGCUUUGGCAGGCCUGCCCUCGGGCUGCUGGCUCCGGCCGGCUCGCAUCUGCCAGAGGACCUAAACUCUGUUUGUAUAUGAAGUCUGAGUACUAUAUAAUAGUUAAAACAUUCAACAACGGAUCUCUUGGUUCUG